UAAGGUUAAGUUAAUAAGGGCGCACGGUGGAUGCCUUGGCACUAGGAGCCGACGAAGGACGUGACAAACGACGAUAUGCCUUGGGUAGCUGUAAGUAAGCGAUGAUCCAGGGAUUUCCGAAUGGGGGAACCCAACAGGUAGUACCUGUUACCCACAUCUGUUAAGGAUGUGAGGAGGAAGACGCAGUGAACUGAAACAUCUAAGUAGCUGCAGGAAGAGAAAGCAAAAGCGAUUGCCUUAGUAGCGGCGAGCGAAACGGCAGGAGGGCAAACCGAAGAGUUUACUCUUCGGGGUUGUAGGACUGCAAUGUGGACUCAAAGAUUAUAGAAGAAUGAUUUGGGAAGAUCAGCCAAAGAGAGUAAUAGCCUCGUAUUUAAAAUAGUCUUUGUACCUAGCAGUAUCCUGAGUACGGCGGGACACGUGAAAUCCCGUCGGAAUCUGGGAGGACCAUCUCCCAACCCUAAAUACUCCCUAGUGACCGAUAGUGAACCAGUACCGUGAGGGAAAGGUGAAAAGCACCCCGGGAGGGGAGUGAAAUAGAACCUGAAACCGUGUGCCUACAACAAGUUCGAGCCCGUUAAUGGGUGAGAGCGUGCCUUUUGUAGAAUGAACCGGCGAGUUACGUUAUGAUGCGAGGUUAAGUUGAAGAGACGGAGCCGUAGGGAAACCGAGUCUGAAUAGGGCGCCUUAGUAUCAUGACGUAGACCCGAAACCAUGUGACCUACCCAUGAGCAGGUUGAAGGUGCGGUAAGACGCACUGGAGGACCGAACCAGGGCACGUUGAAAAGUGCUUGGAUGACUUGUGGGUAGCGGAGAAAUUCCAAACGAACUUGGAGAUAGCUGGUUCUCUCCGAAAUAGCUUUAGGGCUAGCGUCGACAUUAGAGAUUCUUGGAGGUAGAGCACUGUUUGGGUGAGGGGUCCAUCCCGGAUUACCAAUCUCAGAUAAACUCCGAAUGCCAAUGAAUUAUGGUCGGCAGUCAGACUGCGAGUGCUAAGAUCCGUAGUCGAAAGGGAAACAGCCCAGACCACCAGCUAAGGUCCCAAAAUAAUUGUUAAGUGGAAAAGGAUGUGGGGUUGCACAGACAACUAGGAUGUUAGCUUAGAAGCAGCUAUUCAUUCAAAGAGUGCGUAAUAGCUCACUAGUCGAGUGACCCUGCGCCGAAAAUGUACCGGGGCUAAAACAAUUUACCGAAGCUGUGGAUACCUUUAUAGGUAUGGUAGGAGAGCGUUCUAUGUGUGAUGAAGGUAUACCGUGAGGAGUGCUGGAACGCAUAGAAGUGAGAAUGCCGGUAUGAGUAGCGAAAGACAGGUGAGAAUCCUGUCCACCGUAAGACUAAGGUUUCCAGGGGAAGGCUCGUCCGCCCUGGGUUAGUCGGGACCUAAGGAGAGACCGAAAGGUGUAUCCGAUGGACAACAGGUUGAUAUUCCUGUACUAGAGUAUGUAGUGAUGGAGGGACGCAGUAGGCUAACUAAAGCAGACGAUUGGAAGAGUCUGUCUAAGCAGUGAGGUGUGAAUUGAGUCAAAUGCUUAAUUCUAUAACAUUGAGCUGUGAUGGGGAGCGAAGUUUAGUAGCGAAGUUAGUGACGUCACACUGCCAAGAAAAGCUUCUAGCGUUUAAACAUACUCUACCCGUACCG
rnacentral:rRNA from 1 species